UACGGAGGGUGCAAGCGUUAUCCGGAUUCACUGGGUUUAAAGGGUGCGUAGGCGGGCAGGUAAGUCCGUGGUGAAAUCUCUGAGCUUAACUCAGAAACUGCCAUGGAUACUAUUUGUCUUGAAUAUUGUGGAGGUAAGCGGAAUAUGUCAUGUAGCGGUGAAAUGCUUAGAUAUGAACAUAGAACACCAAUUGCGAAAGGCAGCUUACUACACAGUUAUUGACGCUGAGGCACGAAAGCGUGGGGAUCAAACAGG
rnacentral:rRNA from 1 species